rnacentral:rRNA from 1 species
AAACUAGGAUUAGAUACCCUUGUACUAAAUUGUAAAGGUAGUAAAAGAUAAUCUUAAAACCUAAGGAAUCUGGCGGUCCUAUAUGUCUUUGGAGGGGCUUGUUUUUUAAUUGAUAGUCCUCAUUUAUUAUUACCAUUUCUCUCAUUUUAUAUACCUCCGUAUAAAUUUAAUUAAUAAUUUAUUUUAUUUUUAAAUAAUUCAAAAUUCAGGUCAAGGUGUAAAUUAUAAGAUGGAAAUAAUUAGCCACAUAUUUAAAAUUAGAUGUUAAUCAAGUUAUAUGGAUUUGUUUGUAAGUUUACAAUAAAAUUUUAAACAUUUGAACCAACAGGAUGCACAUAUCGCCCGUCACUCUGAUAAUAGAUAAGUCGUAACAUAGUA